GGCUACAUCCAUAUCACCCUGUAGCGCAAGCAGGGCUGAGCCUGGUCAGUACCUGGAUGGGAAACCACAAGGGAAAACUAGGUUGCUGUUGGAA
rnacentral:rRNA from 1 species